rnacentral:rRNA from 1 species
UACGAAGGGGGCUAGCGUUGCUCGGAAUCACUGGGCGUAAAGGGUGCGUAGGCGGGUCUUUAAGUCAGGGUGAAAUCCUGGAGCUCAACUCCAGAACUGCCUUUGAUACUGAGGAUCUUGAGUUCGGGAGAGGUGAGUGGAACUGCCGAGUGGUAGAGGUGAAAUUCGUAGAUAUUCGCAAGAACACCAGUGGCGAAGGCGGCUCACUGGCCCGAUACUGACGCUGAGGCACGAAAGCGUGGGGAGCAAACAGG